GGGAUUGUGACUCAGUGGUAGAUCAUCUGCAUUGCAUGCAGAAGGUCUCAGGUUCAAUCCUUGGCAUCCCCA